rnacentral:rRNA from 1 species
CACGUAGGCGGACUCUUAAGUCAGGGGUGAAAUCCUGGAGCUCAACUCCAGAACUGCCCUUGAUACUGAGAGUCUCGAGUUCGGGAGAGGUGAGUGGAACUGCGAGUGUAGAGGUGAAAUUCGUAGAUAUUCGCAAGAACACCAGUGGCGAAGGCGGCUCACUGGCCCGAUACUGACGCUGAGGUGCGAAAGCGUGGGGAGCAAACA